rnacentral:rRNA from 1 species
GACGAACGCUGGCGGCGUGCUUAACACAUGCAAGUCGAACGGAAAGGCCCUGCUUUUGUGGGGUGCUCGAUUGGCGAACGGGUGAGUAACACGUGAGUAACCUGCCCUUUACUUUGGUAUAACUUCAGGAAACUGGGGCUAAUACCGGAUAGGAUCUCCUGCUGCAUGGUGGUGGUUGGAAAGUUUCGGCGGUUGGGUAUGUACUCGCGGCUUAUCAUCUUGUUGGUUGGGUAGUGGCUUACCAAGGCUUUGACGGGUAGCCGGCCUGGGAGGGUUACCGGGAAAAUAGGGACAGAGAAACGGCCCAGAGGCAUACGGGAGGAAGGAGUGGGGAAAAGUGAAAAAUGGGCGGAAGAAUGAUGCAGAAACGGGGGGUGCGGGAUGAAGGCCUUCGGGUUGUAAAACGAUUUCGAAUGAGAAGAAGCGUGAGUGAGGGUAAUGGGUAAAGAAGAACCGGCUAACUACGU